CAUGUUUUAUAUAUAUAAAAAGGUCUUUCUAAAUUUAAAUGAGAUGGGGUAUUACCCAUUGAAUUCCUUUCUGCACGGACGAUUUUGGCAGUCAGUAUAUAAGGAAGAUUUGAGGUGUGUUUGACCAAUGCGACGCUCGGUACAAGAUAGUAAGGACUAGGUUAGUUUGGUAUACUAUUCCCCACUCUCCCACCCUUUUUAUAUGUUACCUUAUCGUUUCUAUUCGACUUGUGUAUGGUAAAUAUUGAUUCAUUUAUGUAUGACUAUUGUAUAUAUUUAUGUUGAACAUGUUGAAUUAAAAGGCGAUCUUGUAGCGAACGCACAACCCUAUACUGUGUUUGGUAUUUCUUCUAC
rnacentral:lncRNA from 1 species